rnacentral:rRNA from 1 species
AUUGAACGCUGGCGGCAGGCCUAACACAUGCAAGUCGAGCGGAUGAAGGGAGCUUGCUCCUGGAUUCAGCGGCGGACGGGUGAGUAAUGCCUAGGAAUCUGCCUGGUAGUGGGGGAUAACGUCCGGAAACGGGCGCUAAUACCGCAUACGUCCUGAGGGAGAAAGUGGGGGAUCUUCGGACCUCACGCUAUCAGAUGAGCCUAGGUCGGAUUAGCUAGUUGGUGGGGUAAAGGCCUACCAAGGCGACGAUCCGUAACUGGUCUGAGAGGAUGAUCAGUCACACUGGAACUGAGACACGGUCCAGACUCCUACGGGAGGCAGCAGUGGGGAAUAUUGGACAAAGGGCGAAAGCCUGAUCCAGCCAUGCCGCGUGUGUGAAGGAGGUCUUCGGAUUGUAAAGCACUUUAAGUUGGGAGGAAGGGCAGUAAGUUAAUACCUUGCUGUUUUGACGUUACCAACAGAAUAAGCACCGGCUAACUUCGUG